UUUUACGUCUCACACAAAGAGUAGAGGACAGAAAUCCUUUACAUCAAUUGUGCAUUUCAUGACUUCACAGAACACACAGAUAUCUGGGUUCGGGACAGUGUUAGAUGUCUCGGUUAUGAGGCAUCUGGGUAGGGAGAUAUGAGACAGUUACAAAAGCUGUGUUAUAAGGCGAGCUUUGGCACUUACUCAGAAGCCCUUCUGUAGUUUAAAUUACAGAGAACCUAACUCAAUCAAGAUUUAAUCAUCGAUGUUGUGAAAGGAAGUCUCCAAUUCUCAACAACUUCACAAACAGGAUUUAUCUCUUUUCUGAGAGCAAGGGAACUUGAGUCUCUUAAAAAUCCAGCCCUACUUAGCUAACAUGUUUUGUUUCUUUUUUCCCUCCUGGUUGAAGCUUGUUUUCCUCACUGCAAGGAUCAGGUGGGCUGAGGCUGAAGCCAAAGCUUAGACUUAAACACAGGAUUUGAUCUGAGACCUUGGAAGAGGCUCCCAAACUUAGGUGCUAGAAGUGAGAAUGUGGAUUUAUAGUUUGAAGCAGAGACACGCUGAGCUAAGUGGAGGAAAGUUUAGAGUUUCAGAGUUUAAGGUAUAGAAAAAAUAAAUGUAGUUACAGAGGUAAACAGGAAGCUCAGAAUGCAGUGCUGUAGGUUCAUGUGUCUUAACAUGACUGACUAAGAAAGCUCACACUGUAGCAUGAGUCCAUAAGAUGAAAUAUUUAAGGAUCAGUUCAAAAGUAUAAAUAACCUUGUUGGCAGUGUUUUAUUGGUCAACAAUUCCUUCAAAGGUCUUGUAACUUAGGGUCUUGUGGCCUUCUGAAGCAUGCAGUGAAGAUGUGAGCCGAACUCACCCUUCCUGUCUGUGUAGAAGAUAGGAAAAAAAUCACAUAAUCAAAAACAACUCAGAGGUCCUGUCUCAAAUUCCUUCCAAAAUUCCCCACAAGUGAAUUCUCACAGGCCUGGAGCAGGACAGCAGUCAGGGUGUGUUUUCUGCGUGAUUGAGCUCAGGAGGGUCAGUCCAUUGCUGCUCCUCAGCCCCAGCGCUGCCCCACAGCUCCUGCGGAGUGCGGCCCUCAGAGAACGCUCACGGGAGCAGCAGCUGCACCUGCUGCUUUCGGGAUGCUCACCUCACAGAGUGCUUACAGAGGCACAAACAACCAGGCAUUGUGCUCUUUCAGCUUCUGAUAAACUCGUGUGAAUGAGACCUGUCCGUCAUCCCUGCCCCAAAUAUCUGGGGAGAUGCAGAGCUCCGAGAGCUACGGCACCAGGUUACUGCUCAGAAAGAUUCCGACUUCUCAUUUUGAGCUCCUCCAAGAGAUCACACGUUGCUCUCUGUGAGACCAAAAGCAGCUUGCAACGCAAAUCUUUGAUAUUGUUACAAGUGAUGAGCCUCUUGGGUUUUACAAGCCACUUGGUUUAGCAGGCACAGCCAUCAGCUCAGUCCUACCUGGGGAGAGGAACGUGGUUCAUCCCUUCUGCCGCCCUUGUCAGAGGGGACACUGAACGUGCUGUCCAAGCUGAGGAUGGGAACUUUUGUUCUUCAGCCACACUGAUACAACCCAGGAGGCCUGGCCAGUGCAGGCUCGGGUCUCCAGAAACAGCAAAAUUUCCUUUUCUGUUCUAACAUCUGCUGCCAAAAUACCAACCCAAGCAAGCAAAGUGCACAGCCACUCGCAUGCAGGCAACAAAGCUGGCUUAAAUGACUUUGCUGACCUUCCUGGGGAUGACGUGCUGAAAUACUUCACUGGAGAAAAACCUGCCAGACGCAAUUCAGCAGGACUAAACACCUCCUGGCUUUCUUCACAGGAGCAGGGAGCACUCAGCACGCUGCAAACCCAGACCUACACCUGCUCCUCGCAGCUUGCACGUAUCCCAGCAGGUGCGAUCCCAUUAUUUUCCCCAGCAGGGGGAAAAGCUUGGCGUCAAAUCACGGACCGCCAGUGCACCCUCCUGCAAAUCUUCUGUGCGUCACAGGCACUGGAAAUGGAAGCCUGCUGGAGGAUGUCAGCACAGGAGAAGUUCUCCUAAUGGAGGAAUUCCCAUCUCCUCGGGUGAAGGAGGGUGAGAAGAUGUGGCUGACCUUUGUCAUGAGAAGGCAAGAUGGAGCUGUGAGGUUGGAAACAAACCUUCCCGGCCUGGAGUCCUGAUCCGGGGCUCGCCAGGCGUUCAGCACAUGGAACACUUGUGUUUAUGUGUGCACACACAGAGCAGGUGACGCUGAGGUUUUAGAACAACAUUAAAUAAGAGCUCACAAAGCAAGAUGGAAAAUCCAGAGUGGCG